CAGCAGCCGCGGUAAUACGAAGGGUGCAAGCGUUAAUCGGAAUUACUGGGCGUAAAGCGUGCGUAGGCGGUCUUUUAAGUCCGAUGUGAAAGCCCUGGGCUCAACCUAGGAAUGGCACUGGAUACUGGAAGGCUAGAGUGCGGUAGAGGAGGGUGGAAUUCCCGGUGUAGCGGUGAAACGCGUAGAGAUCGGGAGGAACAUCAGUGGCGAAGGCGGCCCUCUGGACCAGCACUGACGCUGAGGCACGAAAGCGUGGGGAGCAAACAGGAUUAGAUACCCUGGUAGUCCACGCCCUAAACGAUGCGAACUGGACGUUGGGCACAACUCGGUGCUCAGUGUCGAAGCUAACGCGUUAAGUUCGCCGCCUGGGGAGUACGCUCGCAAGAGUGAAACUCAAAGGAAUUGACGG
rnacentral:rRNA from 1 species